CGGUCGGCAGAACCGAGGCGUCGCUGCUCUGAGACAGAGUGCUAAACCUGCCA
rfam:Rhodobacteraceae bacterium HTCC2083 scf_1106200183017 genomic scaffold, whole genome shotgun sequence.